rnacentral:lncRNA from 10 species
GUAACUGAAUCAUGGGGGUGGAUUUCCUCCUUGCAGUUUUCAUAUAGUGAGUGAGUUCUCACAAGAUCUGGUUGUUUAAAAGUGUAUAGGACCUCCCUCUUCAUUCUCUUCCUCCUGCUCCAACCAUGUAAGAUGCACCUGCUUCCCCUUCACCUUCCACCAUGAUUGUAAGUUUCCUGAGACUCCGCAGCCAUGCUUCCUGUUCAGCCUGCAGAACCCACGUCUGUUCCUGCUGACUUCGAAUGAUUGUCAAGUGGCUGGACUCAGAUGUUAGCCGUCUGUCAUUGCUGCUAAUAACAUAUUCAUGUACAAAAACAACAGAGGACUCCCUCUGUUGGGUGCAAUAACUUGAAUAGCUUGGGCCUCACUUCAGAGCUCUGUUAUUCCACAGGGGUAUCUAGGCAGCUGGAGCCCUCUGUGUUCCGGACUACAGAUUCGGGGACCCAAAGAUGAGAAAACUCACGAUAGAAGGAAAUUGAAUCGUUUGCUCAAGAUUAAAUACUGGCCAAGUUCAGACCAAGCACCUUGUCAACAUGGGCAAAACUUCAAAAUUUUCUUCAGAGUCACGCACUGAGAAACAGUUUAUGGAUAAAGUAAGCUUUAUAAACAAUUCCCCAAAGACAUUGGACUGUGCCUUAAAGAGAAAAAUGAGGAUCAAUGAGGACGGAGACUCUGCACAGGACAUUGAUUACGCAUGCCUGAAGACUGUUAUUUGAAAUCCUUCUGAUGUGUCACUGUUAGGACGACAGUGAUCACUACAUGCUAAUAUUUGUUAAAUGCCAGGAAUUCCUUCAGACACUAUUAGAGAAGGGCAAGGAAGAUUCUCGAGGGCUAAUCAAGCUCUUAGAGAAUUCAGUUAGUAGUGACCAUUUGCAAUACUGCAAUUGCAAUACUGUGCUCUCCAGUGAGCUGACAAGGCCAGCCAAGGCAAAGUGGAGAGGAAGUGGUGCUUUGUGGCAGAGGACCUAGAAUCAGUACCUGGUGUCUCUACCUCCAUGGGCACACGGCCAGUCCUAGGCUAUCACGAAGAAGCAAUGGUACUCAAUGUUCCUUAAGAAACAACAUCCUUAAUGUGAGAAAAUAAAAAGCCAUUGGAAACCUCUACUUGCUCUGAGCAGGCCAUUUUCUAAAAGCAACUUUGGUAUAUAACUUUGUAUAAUUAGGUAUGUUUUGGGGGGUUGUCUUGCCAUUACUUCCUUCAGUCCAUUAAUAUGGAUAAAGCAUCUCUCACCACACCAUCAGCUUAAACUGUUGAAUCCUGCCUAAUAGCCUGAGCCAAGUUAAUGGAUGAAGUCCCUGGAGAAUUUUUCAGGUGAAGGAGAAGCAGGAGGCUGCUACCCAAGAGAAGACAGAGGUGUUAAAGCUGCUUUUUUGUUUUGUGUUUUUACCUCAAUGCAGUAUAAAAUCAACAUUUAAGAUACAGAUAAAAUUCUUUAUAUAAUUAGCUUAGACCGUAAUAUCCUUCUAAUUGUCACUUUUCUAUGAAACCGUCUUUAACCAUUUAUUUGCCUUUAUGGUACUUAAUCACGUUGGCCCACUCCUUACAAAUUUCAGUAAUGAUUCCAAAUCAGUACAGUAAGGAA